rnacentral:tRNA from 1 species
GGUGGCUCAGUGGUAGAGUGCUUGCCUUUUAUGCAUGAGGCCCUGGGUUCAAUUCCUCAGCACCA